AUAUAUAUAUAUAUUUGCAACUAUUGCUAGGCUUAAUUUGGCUAUCUGUACUGUGUAUGCGUCUCUGUAUUGUUUUCGUUCCCAAAUAGUUGUUCUUUAAUCGUGAGCAAACUGUCUUGCUCUUUUUUUUUGUUUCUUUCAGUGUUUGUGUGUUUCUUUCAGCGUUUGCCUGAUUCUGUAUUUGGAACUUGUGUACCACUCUCACUUAACUCUUUGCCCUUCCCAAGACGAGCAAGUUUGGACAAUUUGGUUAUGUCAUACGUGCUGUUUGUUCUGACAAUUUGUUCGUUGGGAACAACUUAACUUUGAUGGGGGAGGUUUUCUAUAAUUGAAUUGUAAAUUCGCGAUGAUGAAGAUGAUACUUCUUAAAAGACAUCCUCUUCAGUUAAGGGCCCAGGGACUUCUCUGUAUUAGAAGGAAGCUGAAAUUGUCUCUUCAUAUUGAUUGGUACACGAUGUUGUUGCAAAUUGUUCCAAUGAGUCAUCAUCUUCUGGAGGCUGUCCUAUAGUCACUACUGUUGUUGGGCUAUAAUUUGGUCAUCACUGUUGAGACUCUUGCAUUUCAAUCUUUUUUUGCAUAAACAGCGUCUACUUUUGUCAGCUCUUUUGAGUUUUUUGUGUAGGUGUUGCAGGGGAAGUAGCCUAUAAAUGUGUGGCAGGCAGAGCGAGUCGGAGUCCGGAUAUCGAUCAUUGAUUCAACAGAUAAUAGCAAAUUUCUUUAGAUAGACAAAUAAAAUUUCAUCUGUGAGUUCUUCAUUAUUCCUUAUAAACGAAUUGAACUGUGAAUGUGUUUUUCUGCAGCUUGGGUUGUCAAGAUUUUAACUUUCUUCACAGUUUGGAGCCUCGAGAUUUUAUUUGCGCUCUCUAGUAAAAAAAAAUAAUUCUUAUCAAUCUUUUUUUUUUAAUUCAAUUUUUCUGUUGAUUCUUGUAGCAUAUAUUUCUUGGUUUUUUUAUUUACACUUUGGUGUUGCUGUAGAGGAUGUGGUUCUGAUUUCUUGAUAUCUUGAUCCCUUUUACGUUUAAUUUGUUGGCUGAAUGCUGGAGUUCUCAUGUGAUUUUUCUGUUUUAGGGACUUGGGUGUUUCCAAUUUAGUAUCAGAUAAUGGUAAUGUUUUGCUAAAGUUGAUAUAUGGUUAUAACCCCAGUGUUGAAUUGUGAAUGAAAACUGCAUCUUUGUUCUAUGUUCUGCCAUAUCUUCUGUUUUGAAGCAGUAACUUACUGGGUAGUAUGAAGCAAUCAGGUCAGUUUUGGUACACUCUUCUUGAUUGGGAAUCAUUUUCAUAUCAUUUAUUCUCUGGAGUUUUAUUGUCCCUGUGUUUUCAAAUCACUCCUUUACACCUUAGGUUUUCUUACAUUUAUGUUUUUUACAAUGUAAUCUGACGGCCAAAUUUAUGUGAAGAGUUCAACUGGUAAAAUCUAUCAUUCAAGGCAUGCUGGUUUAUUCCCUUCAUAUUUAUGUGGCCUGUGUCUCUCUUACGUCAAUUGGAUGUGUGGACUCGUUUGGGUAACAAGUCUUUGAAACAGCUUAAUAGGUUUGGGUACCAAUUCUUUGAAACAGUUUAAGAGGUUUGGCUAUCCCUCGUAGAACCUGCAACUAAAGAAAGAAGUUGGGGAGAGGUUCACAUACUUUUCGUUCAGCCUAUAAAUGUGUGGUUUGCUGCGAAAUUGGUGGCAGGCAGAGGUUUACAUACAGAUAAUAUUUGGCUUACCGGCGUCAUCCUGUGGACAAAUUAAUGAGUACACACAUGAACCGUCAUGUUUUGCUGGCUGUGUUAUAUAUUUUCAACUGUUGAUGGCCUUAAUUUGAUGAUCUGAACUUCGAUUUGAACAUUUCGGCAUCUCUUUGCCCUCCACAAGGACGAGGAGUUCUGGACAGCUUGGUUUGGCACUUUUUUGUUAUGUUUGAUUUGUCACUUAUUUUGUUAUAAUUUUCUCUUUCUACUUUUCAGUCAUUUUUGAUAUAUAUAUUAAUAAGAGUUUUUCUCCUAAAUUAGAAGCAUAUUGGAGAACUAGAAUCUGCUGUACUUUCCUAAAUUGGUAUGCCUCACAAAUUGUGAAAUCACAAAACCGACCUGAUCACAAGAAACCGUCAUUUGGCUAACCUUAUCAAAUAUCGGGACCAACCAGACCGACCUGAUCUUUCUGCUCCUCAAAGCUUGUAAUUGUAUCUGAGAUUUGACCAGCUGAUAAUUGCCGCUGAAUUUGAACUCUGGCAGCUCUCAAGGUCUUCACUUCUUGCUGAACUGGCAUCAGAGGGAGUAAUGUCCUAUGCUUCAUGAGAAGGGCAGGACAUUUACACAGACAUUUCUUCCCUCGGAUCUUGCACUUAAAGUACCACCCAAGGAUGAGGUUGCUACAACAUGUGCAUUUCUGUAGAUGUUGUUAAACAUAAAUUUCUAACAAUGAAAGUUGAUCACAGGAAAAAAGUUGUAAUUUUCUGCAAGAAGGUAUGUUUUCGUUUGUUAAACUUUUCUGUACUGGAGAAAUGCAAUUUAUUUGUUUGAAGAGAAUGCUGUGUUGCAUGUGUGGAAACUGAACUUAGAUAUGGUUUGGAAUAAUAACAAUAGAGAGAGUUAGGGUAGCACACCUAUUUUAGGAAAGAUGGUUAAUUCUUGAUUUAGCUGGUUUGAGCAUGUUAUUUGAGGAAUACAUCGCUUUGUUAGUAUAUCUUGGUUCUACAGAAUGAUUUAAUUUUGUCAGUACAAGAUAUUUUUAAGAAAGACUUCACAUUUCAGCUUUUUUGAUACUCAGUAACUACUCUUCUCAGUUCAUUUGAAUUUUGUGUUACAAGGGAGACAGCUAUGAAUGCGUGGUGUGCUCUGGCCAGUAGCAAGCAGAGGUUAAUAAUAUACUAUCUGUACUGGGCGGCUCCCUAGAUAUUAAGUGGGCUCGCCUACCACUUGGGAGAACGGCCCAAAUGGGGUGAACCAGCCCGUGAAAUAAAUAUCUCCCCCCAAAAUACUCGGUCAUAACCACGUGAGCUAAAAAGGAGGGAGGAUCAACCUCCUCCCUAAUCUUCAGCAGCACAAUCACUUUCCGCCUUUAGCUUCUCCUUAAGGUUAGCAAUCUCGCCAUUUAAGUCUGAACCUUGUGGAGGUCCUCUUCAAAAAUACGUGCCGAAUCUUCGGCUUCCUUCAGCUUCUUAGAAGCAUCAUUCAACUCCUCACAGCAGGACCUAAGUUCCUUAACCGCCUCAGAUGCUUUGUGUGAAACAAUCCAUCCCAUUAGGACGCCCCGCAAUUCAUGGGAGAGCAUAAGGUCUUACGCCUCUUCUAGACCCAUGUUUCGAAGCUUCUCGUCUUCCCAAUGGAAGCAGUAAUGUUGGUCAAUGAACUCUGCGGCGUCCACAGAAGGGCUAAGAGGAAUAUGGGCCGCAUUGGCAGGAAUAUGGGCCGCAUUGGCAGGAAUUGAAAAUCGUCGGUCAAUUCUGGACGGAGGAUGUUUACCCGUCCGACCGCCAAUCUGAGGAAUAGUUUUCUCCUUCUUCGUCCUCUUGGCUUUGGGGGACUUUGCGCCAGCAUUAACAACAACCUCAACCUGCGAGGAGCCUUCAACGUUUGGCUCUGAAUCGUCUCGCCCCCUCUUCACGGAGGAGGGAUCCCCAAUAAUAGAAUUACUCGCCACAAGAGCACCAGCGACCGGCAGAUCAACGAAAGGAUUCGGCUGGUUAUUUCCACUCCUUAACCUCCUAGCAGUAGCUAAGUGAGCCUUCCAAUGAGAAUUAGUAACCUGGCUCAUCUUUCCUGAAAACGAACAAAGGCGACAUCAACACAAUAACACUGAAA